AGUGAACGCUGGCGGUAGGCCUAACACAUGCAAGUCGAACGGCAGCACAGUAAGAGCUUGCUCUUACGGGUGGCGAGUGGCGGACGGGUGAGGAAUACAUCGGAAUCUACUUUUUCGUGGGGGAUAACGUAGGGAAAUUUACGCUAAUACCGCAUACGAUCUACGGGUGAAAGCAGGGGAUCUUCGGACCUUGCGCGAUUGAAUGAGCUGUUGUCGGAUUAGCUAGUUGGCGGGGUAAAGGCCCACCAAGGCGAGGAUCCGUAGCUGGUGUGAGAGGAUGAUCCGCCACACUGGAACUGAGACACGGUCCAGACUCCUACGGGAGGCAGCAGUGGGGAAUAUUGGACAAUGGGCGCAAGCCUGAUCCAGCCAUACCGCGUGGGUGAAGAAGGCCUUCGGGUUGUAAAGCCCUUUUGUUGGGAAAGAAAAGCAGCAGGUUAAUACCCCGCUGUUCUGACGGUACCCAAAGAAUAAGCACCGGCUAACUUCGUG
rnacentral:rRNA from 1 species